GACGAACGCUGGCGGCGUGCCUAAUACAUGCAAGUAGAACGCUAACGGAGGAGCUUGUUUCUCUGGCUGAGUUGCGGACGGGUGAGUAACGCGUAGGUAACCUGCCUGGCAGCGGGGGGUAACUUUUGGAAGCGAUAGCUAAUCCCGCAUAAUAUCAGUCGUUCCAUGACAACUGUUUGAUAGGUGCACUUUCACCACUACCAGAUGCCCCUGAGUUGUAUUAGCUAGUUCGUGGGGUAACGGCUCACCAAGGCGACGAUACAUCGCCGACCUGAGAGGGUGAACGGCCAAACUGGGACUGGGGCACGGCCCAGAACACUACGGGAGGGAGCAGGAGGGAAACUUCGGCAAUGGAGGGAAGUCUGACCGAGCAACGACGCGUGAGUGAAGGAGGGUUUCGGGGCGUAAAGGUCUGUUGGAAGAGAAGGACGAGUGGGAGAGUGGAAAGUUCACACUGUGACGGUACCUAAAGAAUAAGCGACGGCUAACUACGUG
rnacentral:rRNA from 1 species